CUAGGGCAUACACCAAUGUACCAAACCCUAUCAAACUCCGAAUACCUUAUAUGUAAUCACAGCAGUCAGGCGGCGAGUGAUAAAAUCCGUCGUCAAGAGGGAAACAACCCAGACUACCAGCUAAGGUCCCUAAAUCUUACUUAAGUGGAAAACGAUGUGAAGUUACUUAAACAACCAGGAGGUUGGCUUAGAAGCAGCCAUCCUUUAAAGAAAGCGUAAUAGCUCACUGGUCUAGUGAUUUUGCGCGGAAAAUAUAACGGGGCUAAAGUAAGUACCGAAGCUGUAGACUUGCGCACAACUUAGAUUAUUUAAGUUUAGAAUAUGAGAAACUAAGUUAUAUUUUUACUGAUUUUUAUAGAGUAAAGAUAGAAAUAAAACUUAGUAAAAUCAGUAAAAAUAUUCUUAGGCUAAAGUUAAGUAGUUUAAGUUGUGUGCAAGUGGUAGGAGAGCGUUCUAUUUGCGUCGAAGGUAUACCGGUAAGGAGUGCUGGAGCGAAUAGAAGUGAGCAUGCAGGCAUGAGUAGCGAUAAUUAAUGUGAGAAUCAUUAACGCCGUAAACCCAAGGUUUCCUACGCGAUGCUCGUCAUCGUAGGGUUAGUCGGGUCCUAAGUCGAGUCCGAAAGGGGUAGACGAUGGCAAAUUGGUUAAUAUUCCAAUACCAACAUUAGUGUGCGAUGGAAGGACGCUUAGGGCUAAGGGGGCUAGCGGAUGGAAGUGCUAGUCUAAGGUCGUAGGAGGUUAUACAGGCAAAUCCGUAUAACAAUACUCCGAGAACUGAAAGGCUUUUUGAAGUCUUCGGAUGGAUAGAAGAACCCCUGAUGCCGUCGAGCCAAGAAAAGUUUCUAAGUUUAGCUAAUGUUGCCCGUACCGUAAACCGACACAGGUGGGUGGGAUGAGUAUUCUAAGGCGCGUGGAAGAACUCUCUUUAAGGAACUCUGCAAAAUAGCACCGUAUCUUCGGUAUAAGGUGUGGUUAGCUUCGUACUAGGAUUUACUCCGAAAGCGAAGAAACUUACAACAAAGAGUCCCUCCCGACUGUUUACCAAAAACACAGCACUCUGCUAACUCGUAAGAGGAUGUAUAGGGUGUGACGCCUGCCCGGUGCUCGAAGGUUAAUUGAUGGGGUUAGCAUUAGCGAAGCUCUUGAUCGAAGCCCGAGUAAACGGCGGCCGUAACUAUAACGGUCCUAAGGUAGCGAAAUUCCUUGUCGGUUAAAUACCGACCUGCAUGAAUGGCGUAACGAGAUGGGAGCUGUCUCAAAGAGGGAUCCAGUGAAAUUGUAGUGGAGGUGAAAAUUCCUCCUACCCGCGGCAAGACGGAAAGACCCCGUGGACCUUUACUACAGCUUGACACUGCUAUUUGGAUAAGAAUGUGCAGGAUAGGUGGGAGGCUUUGAGUAUAUGACGCCAGUUGUAUAGGAGCCAUUGUUGAGAUACCACUCUUUCUUAUUUGGGUAGCUAACCAGCUUGAGUUAUCCUCAAGUGGGACAAUGUCUGGUGGGUAGUUUGACUGGGGCGGUCGCCUCCCAAAUAAUAACGGAGGCUUACAAAGGUUGGCUCAGAACGGUUGGAAAUCGUUCAUAGAGUAUAAAGGUAUAAGCCAGCUUAACUGCAAGACAUACAAGUCAAGCAGAGACGAAAGUCGGUCUUAGUGAUCCGGUGGUUCUGUGUGGAAGGGCCAUCGCUCAAAGGAUAAAAGGUACCCCGGGGAUAACAGGCUGAUCUCCCCCAAGAGCUCACAUCGACGGGGAGGUUUGGCACCUCGAUGUCGGCUCAUCGCAUCCUGGGGCUGGAGCAGGUCCCAAGGGUAUGGCUGUUCGCCAUUUAAAGCGGUACGCGAGCUGGGUUCAGAACGUCGUGAGACAGUUCGGUCCCUAUCUGCCGUGGGCGUAAGAAGAUUGAAGAGAUUUGACCCUAGUACGAGAGGACCGGGUUGAACAAACCACUGGUGUAGCUGUUGUUCUGCCAAGAGCAUCGCAGCGUAGCUAAGUUUGGAAAGGAUAAACGCUGAAAGCAUCUAAGCGUGAAGCCAACUCUAAGAUGAAUCUUCUCUAAGCUCUCUAGAAGACUACUAGUUUGAUAGGCUGGGUGUGUAAUGGAUGAAAGUCCUUUAGCUGACCAGUACUAAUAGAGCGUUUGGCUUAUCUUUAAUAAAGCAU
rnacentral:rRNA from 1 species